UACAGAGGUCCCAAGCGUUGUUCGGAUUCAUUGGGCGUAAAGGGUGCGUAGGCGGCGCGGUAAGUCGGGUGUGAAAUCUCGGAGCUUAACUCCGAAACUGCAUUCGAUACUGCCGUGCUUGAGGACUGGAGAGGAGACUGGAAUUUACGGUGUAGCGGUGAAAUGCGUAGAUAUCGUAAGGAAGACCAGUGGCGAAAGGCGGGUCUCUGGACAGUUCCUGACACUGAGACACGAAGGCCAGGGGAGCAAACGGG
rnacentral:rRNA from 1 species